UAUAAUUUAAAUGGAUUGGUGAGAGAGUUAUUUUCUCUAUAGUUUCUUCCAAAUUGGUUUCGAUAUUACAACUAAAACUAAGCAUUCCAGAAAAUGAUGGGAAUCAAAGUGUCUUCUUAAUCAUCCUGGUCUAACAAACAGUAAUGUAAUUCACCUUAGAAUCUCAAUAGUACUUACGUGGCACAGUGUUUGGAGACAGCUGAAAUGUGCUCUCCCCGUAUGCGGACAAUAUAAAACAAGUCUGCAAGCAAAAAAGUUUUAAGUUGUAGACCUGCAGAUGAAAUACAGCGUGUUUAAGUGCAUUUACAGUUUUGCCUACAUGUUUAGUAUAGAAUCAACAGCUGGGGAGGAAAGUGUUUACCAUAUUCUGUACCUUUAUGCAGUGACAAUCCUCUAAAGCUGGCACAGCAAUUACUUUGUGGCCGACCUCCAGCCCCCCCGGCACAAUACAAAUGCACAUCAAAUUCAGAGAGAGAACUUAAAACUGCAUAGAUAACCAUGAGCUUCAUAAACAAGACAUCUAAUCGUUUCUGUCCUCAAUCUUCUGCAACAUCCACGAGUUCAUUUAAAUGAACUAAUUUAGCAGUUUGAUAGUCCUGUAUAUUCAAAGUGAGAAUUAAAGAAUGUAAACUCCUUAAAUUUUUUCAGAAACAGAACAGUUUCAAAUUUUAAGAACCAUCAAGCUAGGAAAUUUGACAUCUUCUAACAUACUACUUUUUGUAUCUAUACACUUAAUCUGAUACUGGGAAGACAUGUAUUGAACAUUUUAAAAACUUAGUAUUACCUUGUCUUUCUACUCCAGCAUGUUUUGUUGCGGGAGAGCAUUUCCAUUUUAUGCAAACAAAGGUGAAGCAGUGAGUUGCAC
rnacentral:lncRNA from 1 species